AGUGGCGAACGGGUGAGUAACGCGUGGGUAAUCUAUCCUUGAAUUCGGGAUAACUGACCGAAAGGUGAGCUAAUACCGGGUAACAUCGCAUUUGGCUUGGNGGAUGCGAUCAAAGGCAGCCUCUACAUGUAAGCUGUUGUUCGGGGAGGAGCCCGCGUACCAUUAGCUUGUUGGUGGGGUAAGAGCUUACCAAGGCGACGAUGGUUAGCUGGUCUGAGAGGAUGAUCAGCCACACUGGAACUGACACACGGUCCAGACUCCUACGGGAGGCAGCAGUGAGGAAUUUUGCGCAAUGGGGGAACCCUGACGCAGCAAACGCCGCGUGAGUGAAGAAGGCCUUCGGGUCGUAAAGCUCUGUCGGAGUGGGAAGAACCUGUGGCAUUGUUAAUUGACCAUGUCGCACUUGACGGUACCAUUAGAAGGAAGCACCGGCUAACUCCGUGCCAGCAGCCGCGGAAAUAACGGAGGGGUUGCGAGCGUAAUUCGGAAAUUAUUGGGCGUAAAGGGCGAGUAGGCGGCCUUUGUAAGUCAGAUGUGAAAGCCCGGGGUUUAACCCCGGAAGGUGCUUUGAAACUACGGGGGCUUGAGUAUGGGAGAGGGAAGGUGACUUCCUUGCUGUGAGCGGUGAAAUGCGUAGAUAUCAGGAGGGACACACCGGGUGGCGAAGGGGGACUUUCCUGGACCAAUACUGACGCUGAGGGCGCCGAAGGGGUUGGGGGGGCAAACCGGGUUUGGAUUCCCCUGGUUAGUCCACGCAGUUAACGGGUGAUUCCCUAAGGUGUAGCGGGGUUUGGACCCCUGGUUGUUCCGCAGCUUAACGCUUUAAGUGAUCGGCCCUGGGAGUACGGCCGCAAGGUUAACCUCACAGGGAAUUGGCGGGUGCCCGCACAAGCGGUGGAGCAUGUGGUUUAAUUUCGACGCAACGCGAAGAACCUUACCUGGAUUUGACAUCCCGGGAAUCCUUAUGAAAAUUUGGAGUGCCCUUCGGGGAGCCUGGAGACAGGUGCUGCAUGGCUGUCGUCAGCUCGUGUCGUGAGAUGUUGGGUUAAGUCCCGCAACGAGCGCAACCCCUAUCUUUAGUUACCAUCAAUUCGGUUGGGGACUCUAGAGAUACUGCCCCGGUCAACGGGGAGGAAGGUGGGGAUGACGUCAAGUCCUCAUGGCCUUUAUGUCCAGGGCUACACACGUGCUACAAUGGGCUGUACAGAGGGUAGCGAUCUCGCGAGGGUGAGCCAAUCCCAAAAAGCAGUCCUCAGUUCGGAUUGGAGUCUGCAACUCGACUCCAUGAAGUUGGAAUCGCUAGUAAUCGCGGAUCAGCAUGCCGCGGUGAAUACGUUCCCGGGCCUUGUACACACCGCCCGUCACACCAUGAGAGUUGGUUGUACCAGAAGUCGUCGGCCUAACCCGCAAGGGAGGGAGC
rnacentral:rRNA from 1 species